rnacentral:rRNA from 1 species
GACGAACGCUGGCGGCGUGCUUAACACAUGCAAGUCGAACGGAAAGGCCCUGCUUUUGUGGGGUGCUCGAGUGGCGAACGGGUGAGUAACACGUGAGUAACCUGCCCUUGACUUUGGGAUAACUUCAGGAAACUGGGGCUAAUACCGGAUAGGAGCUCCUGCUGCAUGGUGGGGGUUGGAAAGUUUCGGCGGUUGGGGAUGGACUCGCGGCUUAUCAGCUUGUUGGUGGGGUAGUGGCUUACCAAGGCGUUGACGGGUAGCCGGCCUGAGAGGGUGACCGGCCACAUUAGGACUGCGAUAGGGCCCAGACUCCUACGGGAGGCAGCAGUGGGGAAUAUUGCACAAUGGGCGGAAGCCUGAUGCAGCAACGCCGCGUGCGGGAUGACGGCCUUCGGGUUGUAAACCGAUUUCGCCUGUGACGAAGCGUGAGUGACGGUAACGGGUAAAGAAGCACCGGCUAACUACGUG